rnacentral:rRNA from 1 species
UUAAACUGAAGAGUUUGAUCCUGGCUCAGAUUG